UCCCUGAUUUUCUUUGGAUAUCAUUUGCCUCUUCCCGAAGUACUUCCUUUAACCUGUUUCGUAGGGCAGAUCUGCUGGCUGUGCAUUUCCUCAGCUUUUUUGUUUGUUUUGAAGUUUUUGUUUCACCUUCAUUUUUCAGAAGCAUUUGCAUGAAUCCGAAAAUUCUGGGUCACAUGGAUUCUGAGGAGGCCCCAGAACAGCUUAAACGAUCUCGCAGAAGACAACCAAAGGUGGAAGACUCAUGCAUUCUGAUUUCAACCAUUAUUUCAAACCUCCAGUAAUCAAUACGAUGUAGUACUGAUGUAAGGAUGGACAUAGAGAUCAACGGAAUAGAACUGAGAGCCCAGAAAUAACCCAUACAACCACGGUAUCUAUCGAAGACAAGUGAGGACAUAAGCUCUCACAAAAAUUUGCAUACGAAUGUUCCUAGCAACAUUAAUCACAACAGUCGAAGAGUGCAAACAACCCAAAUGCCAACCGUGUCAUGAAUAUAUCACAUGCGGUGACCUAUACAUACAGUAGAAUAAUAUUCAGCCAAAAAAGAAUGGAGUCGUGAUACUUGCUACAACAUGGAUGAGUCCUGAACAUAUUAUGCUAAGUGAAAGAAGCCAGACUCAAAGGCCACAUAAUGUAUGAUCCUGUUUAGUUGAAAUAUCCAGAAUGGACAAAUCUGUGGAGACAUGAAGCCGACGAGUGAAUAUCCAGGGUUCCUGGGACGGGAUUGGGGAGGGACUGCUAAUGGUACAGGGUUUGUUCUGGAAUUAGAUCUUGGUGACGGUUUGCACAACCUUGUGCAUAUACGGCUAAAAAGGGUGAAUUUGAUGGUAUACGACUUACAGCUCAAUAAAUUGAAAAAAAAAUUAAAGGAUAGCAUGGACCUUUGGAUCGGUUUUUGGCCAUUUUUAGAAAUACAGUUGGCUACACCCGAAGACAUAGUAAGCUGUCCAAAUCUUGCCUUCAUCAGUUUGGUCAUCAGAGGUGACCACCGUAGCCGGAUUAGGUGUUUCCCUCUUGUCCCUGUUACCCGUAUUUACAAACUGCAUGUCACAUACAUAUACACAUACAGACACUGGUUGA